rnacentral:rRNA from 1 species
UACAGAGGCCUCAAGCGUUGUUCGGAUUCAUUGGGCGUAAAGGGUGCGUAGGUGGCAAGGUUAGUCAGGUGUGAAAUCUCGGGGCUCAACCCCGAAACUGCACUUGAUACUGCCUUGCUAGAGUACUGGAGAGGAGAUUGGAAUUUACGGUGUAGCAGUGAAAUGCGUAGAUAUCGUAAGGAAGACCAGUGGCGAAGGCGAAUCUCUGGACAGUUACUGACACUGAGGCACGAAGGCCAGGGGAGCAAACGGG